CUUUCCCACUGGACAGCCAGCUCCUUGGGGCAGAGACCUGUCCUACUCAUGUCUGUGAUCACAACUGCCUGCAUAUUUCAUCCUCACAGGAUGUUUGCCCAAGGUAUUACACCCAUCCACAUCUGAUGCCAGAGGAGCACAUGAGCCACGCCUCUGCCACAGAGAGCUCCGUCCCAGUGGGUGAUAUAUUUUCUCUGAACUAUUCCUGGAAAAUAUUCCAGAAGACAAAUCAGCAACAGGAUGAAAGAGGCUCUCAGGGAUUGGACGAAGCAGCCUACCCUGGGGAGAGCCAUCUGCUUCCCUGAGUCCAAGGAUUCAAAUGCUGAUCACAUUCUGAAGCACCCUGCUGGACACCCCAGAAACAACAUUUAUUUAAUCUGGGCACCUGUGGGCCAGUCCAGAUGAUACACAGAAUUAACCAUCAUAUAGGUCUUCUUCUGCAGGUUCUUCUUAAUAGGAGCAGUUAGAAAAAUUUCCAGAAUUUUCGAUUAUUUUUUAAUGAUGACUAUGCCUGAUGCUGUUGUUAUGGCCCCAGGAGAACCAGGCUCCGAAAGUCCAAUUCCUUCUGAGGCAAGUCUACCACACAAUAUUUUUGAUGAUUGCUCCUCUUCUUGUUUGCUGGGUUCUGCUGGCUUUAUGCCAAACUACUCUAGAGGCUUUUGGUGAGUUUUUGAUACUUACCUUGCAAAAAGGAAACCAUGAUAAGACAGACAUAUUCCAUCUUACUGAACAGAUAGAUAAUGUACAUGUUAAGUACCACAGGGAAGUAAGUACACCACGAGGAUGAGGGCAACUCACUUCUUUACAGGGUUUCCACUGAGGCAUAGACUGUGAUGCUAUUAAUCAUGACAGGGACUCAGGAGGAGUAUCUGGGAUAAAAGAUCAAUUUGAUUGUGGGGGCUGAAUUUGACGUGUAAGAAACACACAGGUGAUGCACGCUGCUCGACAUCAACACUGCAUCCUUAAAAACAGCAAGCUUUCUGUUUGCAAUUUGGGAAGGGAAAAUAUCAGUCAAGUGCCUUUUACACUUUUUACAUUUAUGCAGUUGAUGUAUUUGUUUUCCAGAUCUUCCGUAAAUUUAGACACCUUGAUGUUCCUGAACCCUUUACUAUUCGGUGUUAUAAAACACCUUUUGCAUUCUGGGAAAGUCAGAGCUUCCUGUGUUGCCAAGGUGCCCUAACCAAACUGAUAUGCACUCUUUUGAGUCUCAAAGC
rnacentral:lncRNA from 1 species